AUUGAACGCUAGCGGCAUGCCUAACACAUGCAAGUCGAACGGAGUGGCGAACGGGUGAGUAAUGCAUCGGAACUUGCCCCGUAGUGGGGGAUAACUACGGGAAAGCGGAGCUAAUACCGCAUACUAUCAGACCGGCCGAUAUCGGAUUAGCUAGUUGGUGGGGUAACGGCUUACCAAGGCGACGAUCCGUAGCUGGUUUGAGAGGACGACCAGUCACACUGGGACUGAGACACGGCCCAGACUCCUACGGGAGGCAGCAGUGGGGAAUUUUGGACAAUGGGGGAAACCCUGAUCCAGCCAUGCCGCGUGUGCGAUGAAGGGCUUCGGUUUGUAAAGCACUGUUGGCAGGGAAGCGUUACCUGCAGAAUAAGCACCGGCUAACUACGUGCCAGCCGCCGCGGUAAUUC
rnacentral:rRNA from 1 species